UUGGGGAGGGAGAGGCUUAUCCUGCCACCAGGAUGUCUUGUCCUGCCACCAGCUCCAGUAAGCUCAGCAGUGAAGCUGAAAUGCUCUUGAUCAUCUCCAGAACUGGCUCAAUGCUUCUUGCUACUGCUGACUAUUUGUGCUGUCUGAUGAGCUGCAUAGUCACUCCGUGCUUUCCCUCCUGUGACUGGAGCAUCCUUCCCAGAUGGGUUGAAGAGCAUGAAGUUUGGCCCAGCAUCACUUCAAACCUUUCCUGAAGUGACUCAUUCUGUGGAGUCUUCUGAACUCAAUUUCAUGACCAACUUUGUUUCUCCUUUUCCAUUUGUUAUAUUACUUAGGUCUGACCAAUGUUGUUUCUGUUUACAUUUUCAAAGGGUUUAGUACACAAAACAUAGUGCCCCUAAUGAGUUGUAAGCUGUAAGUUGUGUGUUCCCUUCUACCUCUAUGUUGAAGACAUAUAAACAAGCACACACUUGCACAUGCGUAUACAAGUCCAGUGUAUAGCCAGAAUAAUAUCAUCGUUAAUUAUGGCUGUAAGUGAAGAAAAAUUCUCAAAGCUGGCCACUGUAUUAUUUUCUAAUCAAAUAUUAAACAGCUUAAUUUUGAAGAAGAGGGAUCGCAUUUCAAAAUUUGCCUUCUAGAAAUGACUCAAUAAAAUUUUUAUAAGCUGUAGGCUUUUCAAGAGAACAGACUCCAAAGACGGGUGUGAAUUGCAUUUGUGUUUUUGCUGGGUCUGUUUUUCCUGCCAAGUGCAGGUGUCCAGCAUUCACUUUUUAUUUUGCUUUUAUCUGCAUUUUGUGCUCAUUAUCAAAAUACACCUUAGAGUCUCGCCAAAUUUCUUUAAAGCUCCAUCCUUGGGUGUGCCUUCUGAGCCCUCCUCCCUCUCUAAUUUAGCUGUUUAUAGUGGUGUUCAGCUUGAAAUGCAAGUAAAUAAGUUCUGGGCACUGAUCCUAUUUGGCAUUGGGAAAGACCUUUGGGGCAAAUACACACUGGAAAUCCCACAGCUGUCACAAGCUGGGCUUUGCACAGGAGCAGCUCCAGUGAGGUGGGGAUGCCCUGGGAAUAGAGGCCAGGAGCCUUCUUGGUGGCAGUGUCACCUCUGUCCACCUGUCCCUCGGCCACUGAUGGACUGCAAGAAUGGCAGCAAGGGCAUUAUAAGAGCAGUUUGUGCCUUUUGCUGCUUAGCUCCCAAGGGCUCAUCCACAGCAUGCUGAGGUGCAGAGCCCCCAGCCAUGUGGCACAAGUAGGAUUCUCCCUGCAAGGCUCCUCACUGUCCUGGGGACACCCCCACUGCCAGAGAAACAUGCUGUUUGUAGCCCUUAAUGAUGAGUUGUGCAUCCAGGGUCACACAUGGGCACACUUCAGAGCCCCAAAACUUGGCAUCACAGGGAGCCCUGGGACCUUACUUCUGGGUUUACUCUGCCUUGGAGUAACUGUGGAUAAUUUGCAAAGUUCCCCUGGAAGAGAAAGUCUUAAAAAUAGUCUGUUCAUUGUUAGGAGUGUCUGAGAAAAACUUAAAAUUAUAUCAAAUUGAAGUAUUCCUUCUGAAAAGAACACACACACACAAACACACGUGCGCACACACACACACAUAUAUAUAUAUAUGCCUUUUAACCUUCUAAUGAAAUUUUUGUAUGUUUAAUAACUUGGAGAUGAUUUGUUAAUGUGCAAGACUUUUAAAAAAAUCGUUAUGGAUAAUUUCUGGUUAGUUCAGAGUGGAAUAAUUUAUUUUAUUUUCUAUAUUAAAUGUUUCAUGCAUAUUAUAGCUGAACAACAUUUUAAAGAAAAAAUGCAAAUAAGCCAUUAUUAAUUUGUUAGUCAAAUUUUAAAAGAAUUUUCAUGUUUUCUCUAUGUAUUGGAAAACACUAUGCUAUGUAAAGUAGGUUGUUUUAUUCCAUGUAAAACAGCAGCUGAUUAUAAUAAUUUUUAAACAACUGAAGUCAGCAGUAAAUUAUUCAGAUAUUUGGACUUAGUUAUUGUAUUAUAAUAGAAUAUUGAAUUAUGCAGUAGUAAUUCUGAUAUCAAUAAGUAAUAUAGAAAUAGCAAUACAAAGUCUAACAUUUGGCUGGAAUAUGAGAAGCCGCAACAACAUAGAAAUAGUUUAAACUUAAAUUUCUUUUUUGUUUUCUUUAAAUAUAUUUAUUAAUUUAAAAACCAAAUGCU